UACGUAGGGGGCAAGCGUUGUCCGGAUUUAUUGGGCGUAAAGAGCGUGUAGGCGGCCUUGCAAGUCCGUUGUGAAAACUCGAGGCUCAACCUCGAGACGCCGGUGGAAACUGCAAAGCUAGAGUCCGGAAGAGGAGAGUGGAAUUCCUGGUGUAGCGGUGAAAUGCGUAGAUAUCAGGAGGAACACCGGCGGCGAAGGCGGCCCUCUGGAUCGUUGCUGACGCUGAGACGCGAAAGCGUGGGGAGCAAACAGG
rnacentral:rRNA from 1 species